rnacentral:rRNA from 1 species
GAUGAACGCUCGCGAUAGGCUUAACACAUGCAAGUCGAGGGGUAACGUGUUGGAAGCUUGCUUCCGAUGACGACGACCGGCGGAUGGGUGCGUAACGCGUAUGCAACUUGCCUCACAGUGGAGAAUAACCCGGAGAGAUCCGGACUAAUACUCCAUACACUCUUAAGUACGCCUGUACAUGAGAGGAAAGAUUUAUCGCUGUGAGAUAGGCAUGCGUCCUAUUAGGUAGUUGGUGAGGUAACGGCUCACCAAGCCGACGAUAGGUAGGGGUGCUGAGAGGCAGAUCCCCCACAUUGGGACUGAGACACGGCCCAAACUCCUACGGGAGGCAGCAGUGAGGAAUAUUGGUCAAUGGAGGAAACUCUGAACCAGCCAAGUCGCGUGAAGGAAGAAUGUCCUAAGGAUUGUAAACUUCUUUAGCGAGCGAGUAAGGACUUCCACGUGAUGGGAGUUUGAAAGUAGCUCGAGAAUAAGUAUCGGCUAACUCCGUG